UACGAAGGGUGCAAACGUUGCUCGGAAUCAUUGGGCGUAAAGCGCACGUAGGCGGCCCAGCAAGUUGGAUGUGAAAUCCCUCGGCUCAACCGAGGACGUGCAUCCAAAACUGCUGGGCUUGAGUACUGAAGAGGAUCGCGGAAUUCCCGGUGUAGAGGUGAAAUUCGUAGAUAUCGGGAGGAACACCAGUGGCGAAGGCGGCGAUCUGGGCAGAUACUGACGCUGAGGCGCGACAGCGUGGGGAGCAAACAGG
rnacentral:rRNA from 1 species